rnacentral:rRNA from 1 species
GCUUACGGCCAUACCAGCCUGGGUACGCCCGAUCUCGUCUGAUCUCGGAAGCUAAGCAGGGUCGGGCCUGGUUAGUACUUGGAUGGGACACCGCCUGGGAAUACCAGGUGCUGUAAGCA